GAGAGUAGGGGUACCUUUCUUGGCUGAUCCCUUUCGCUGUAUGGCGUGCUCGUUUGGGUUGGGCGUCGACUAAGAGUGCUCGGAGCUUGGAUUAACUCCAGUCGCCAAUCGGGUAAUCCCUAAGCUUAGAUGGUUUGGAGCUGCGAGGGACUCGGAGAUGGCCACACUACUGUUUCUGUUUCUUUUAAUUACAAGAAGUAAUCGGUUUAUUUUUUUAUAAGUUUUAUCUUAUUAAUAUUAUUUUUGCUUUUGGGUUGUAAUAAUGCCAUUUUAAUUAUUUUUCUGGGAUUAUUUUAUUUUUAAUAACUUUAAUCUGUUUAUUAAUAAAUGGGCUAGACUUAGGACGUGUUUUCAAAA